GGGAUUCAUAUCUCAAUGCGUCUUUAGAGCACUGAGUGGAUCCCUAGUUGUGUAAAUCAUCAAGAGACAUUUAAUUUUUCCCCCUAAUAAGAAUAUAUAGAAGAAGAAAACAAUUAUGCAUAAACUAACUGCAAAGUGGAAAACAGAAAAUGCAAGAACAGCAAGCAUUUCCACAAUUUUAAAUUCAAACAUCUAACUGAAAUUUAUCCUUGAGGUAAAGGCUUCUACCACAUGACUUGUUCAUAACUUGGUACCUAUUGCUACUGUACCAUAGUGGGUGACGGUUCACUGUACCCUAGUGAUGGAAAGCAGAUCAAGGCUAACUACUGCUAAUUUGAUGCCCCACUCGGUUAGAACCCCACAGUAUCAAACUCAACCUCAGUCAUCCUGCCUAAGUUCAUUUGAAGAUGACAACACAAAACCUCAAAUAGAACAACACUAAUUGGAACUCAAAUGCAAUACAUUGUUUGGCAAGCUUCAAACUCUGAGAUACUUCCAUGCAUGUGAAAAAUAGUAAGAAUGUAAGCGAGAACAGAAGCAAAAGCAAUGGCUUUUACCCAACCAUUAUCUAUAUGUUCAAUUCACUAGAUUCUGUCUUUGUUUUAAACUGAACCUUAGUUAAUUGAAGCUCCUUUUAUCCUUCAGAUUAGUGGUACUAUGUAAUGGAUGUUGCACUUCGAUUUUUCUUAUUUCGUUUCCUUUAUAUAAAUAACCAGCAGAAAAUGCAUAACUAGAUUUGAAGUUGACAAGGCAUCAAAUAGGAACAAGAAAAGUGGCUCAUCAAGUAAAAUCAUAGGUUUUCUGACAAAUUUGAAUAAGCUACUGAACCGCAUAUGUGUCAAGUAAUAGACAGCAAGUAAACUAUCUUAAAGAAAGAUGUUGCAAAAGUAUCAAAGUAAACAAGGGUGGCUCAGUUAUUGCCCAUCUAUCCCUUCUGGCUCCACCCAACAAUCUCCAGGUCCAAAACGACAAAAUUAUAGUCACACGGCAGAAUGGAACCCUUACCACUCUGCAACAAGACCCUCCUUCUCAAAUGAUAGAUUGCUCAUGCAUAUACAUACAAGCAUUAAAUGAUUCAUACAGAUAAUGGCACGAAACGCAGCUUCGGAGCUUAGUAUCCCAUAAAACAAACAAUAUACUAAAGAAUGUUCGACGAAAUGUCUAAGAGAAACCCCAGCAGGAAUCCGCAUUAAUCCUAGUAUCCUCCAAACACAUUAAACGCCCAAACUAAAAGGAAAUCGAAUGCAAUACCCGAACUUCUUUUUCUUGGGGGG
rnacentral:misc_RNA from 1 species